UGGGGAAUCUUAGACAAUGGGGGCAACCCUGAUCUAGCCAUGCCGCGUGGGUGAAGAAGGCCUUCGGGUCGUAAAGCCCUUUCGCCGGGGAAGAUAAUGACGGUACCCGGUAAAGAAGCCCCGGCCAACUCCGUGCCAGCAGCCGCGGUAAUACGGAGGGGGCUAGCGUUGUUCGGAAUGACUGGGCGUAAAGCGCGCGUAGGCGGGUCUGCAAGUCGGGGGUGAAAUCCCGGGGCUCAACCCCGGAACGGCCUUCGAGACUGCCGGCCUGGAGUUCGAGAGAGGUGGGUGGAAUUCCGAGUGUAGAGGUGAAAUUCGUAGAUAUUCGGAGGAACACCGGUGGCGAAGGCGGCCCACUGGCUCGACACUGACGCUGAGGCGCGAAAGCGUGGGGAGCAAACAGG
rnacentral:rRNA from 1 species